rnacentral:lncRNA from 1 species
CGGCCCCCCCCAGUCAGCCUAGGUUGUCUCUGGCCACCCCGGGGUGGGCUGGGGGGGAGGCGGGCAGGUUGUACCUGAUGUGAGGGAGUCAUGAGUCUUGAUCCGAGACUUCUUUUCGAUGCUUUAAGAGAGGGCACAGGAUGUGGGAGGCCCCACUUUGUCCCCAUUGGGCCACGUGGUCCCCGGGUUGGUGGGGGACAGCAGGACUUGGGGAGGGGGCUGAGGCCCCAGUUCCGCAAGGUGACCCAUAGUGUCCUCGCCAACUUCCCGAGGGCCCCACAGUCAACUGGUCACCUGAAAGGGGGGACCCUCACCCUGGGGAUGGUUCCAUCUUGGUACACUGGAGGUCCUUUGUGCCAGCAACGGUAUCCGGGCAGCAUCGGGUUCCGAGCUCCGAGCCACCGAGCGCUUGUCUUGGGGGAGGUCCCCAUCCUGCCAGCAGUGCAGGCCUCCCCCAGCGCCUCCUGCUGCGCCUGGCUCAGGUGGAACAGCCAUUGCGAUGUGUGUCCUCACGGUGGCCAGAGCGGUGGGCUUUGUCCCCAUUCUCUGCAGGAGAGGGGCGGGGCCUCCCAGCCGCCCAGCUUGAGGGACCCUUGAAGAUGGCCUUUCCACACCGGCCUGGAAACUGGCGCUGUGGUUCCGAGGACAGCCUGGAAGGGCACAGCCGGCAUUUGUG